rnacentral:rRNA from 1 species
CCUACGGGCGGCUGCAGUGGGGAAUAUUGGACAAUGGGGGGAACCCUGAUCCAGCCAUGCCGCGUGUGUGAAGAAGGCCCUCGGGUUGUAAAGCACUUUCAGUGAGGAAGAACGCCUGGUGGUUAAUACCCAUCAGGAAAGACAUCACUCACAGAAGAAGCACCGGCUAACUCCGUGCCAGCAGCCGCGGUAAUACGGAGGGUGCGAGCGUUAAUCGGAAUUCUGGGCGUAAAGCGCGCGUAGGUGGCUUGAUAAGCCGGUUGUGAAAGCCCCGGGCUCAACCUGGGAACGGCAUCCGGAACUGUCAAGCUAGAGUGCAGGAGAGGAAGGUAGAAUUCCCGGUGUAGCGGUGAAAUGCGUAGAGAUCGGGAGGAAUACCAGUGGCGAAGGCGGCCUUCUGGACUGACACUGACACUGAGGUGCGAAAGCGUGGGUAGCAAACAGGAUUAGAUACCCGAGUAGUC